rnacentral:tRNA from 1 species
GAGCACAGGAAACGUUUUCCAAGGACUUCCUAAGCCCUAGGUCGGGGGUUCGAAUCCCUCCGGGCGCACCA